rnacentral:rRNA from 1 species
UACGUAGGGGGCAAGCGUUGUCCGGAAUCAUUGGGCGUAAAGAGCGCGUAGGCGGCCCUGUAAGUCCGCUGUGAAAGUCAAGGGCUCAACCCUUGAAUGCCGGUGGAUACUGCAGGGCUAGAGUCCGGAAGAGGAGAGUGGAAUUCCCGGUGUAGCGGUGAAAUGCGCAGAUAUCGGGAAGAACACCCGUGGCUAAGGCGGCUCUCUGGAACGCAACUGACGCUGAGACGCGAAAGCGUGGGGAGCAAACAGG